CAGGGGGAACGCUGGCGGCGUGCCUAAUGCAUGCAAGUCGGACGGGAGCACGCUAUGGCGUGCCGACCGUGGCGGACGGGUGCGUAACACGUGGGGAACCUGCCCGGGUGCGGGGGAUAACCCGGGGAAACUCGGGCUAAUACCCCAUACGCUUGGCUGGCGGUGGGCCGGCCAAGGAAAGGCACAGGCGACUGUGCUGUGCUCGGAGGGCCCUGCGGCCUAUCAGCUAGACGGUAGGGUAACGGCCUACCGUGGCGAUGACGGGUAGCUGGUCUGAGAGGAUGGCCAGCCACACGGGCACUGAGACACGGGCCCGACUCCUACGGGAGGCAGCAGCAGGGAAUCUUCCGCAAUGGGGGCAACCCUGACGGAGCGACGCCGCGUGCGGGAGGAAGCCCUUCGGGGUGUAAACCGCUGUUCGGGGGGACGAUCGAGCGACGGUACCCUCGGAGCAAGUCCCGGCUAACUACGUGCCAGCAGCCGCGGUAA
rnacentral:rRNA from 1 species